GGAGGGUGCGAGCGUUGUUCGGAAUCACUGGGCGUAAAGGGCGUGUAGGCGGUCUGUUAAGUCUGAUGUGAAAGCCCGGGGCUCACCCCCGGAAGUGCAUUGGAUACUGGCGGACUCGAGUCCCGGAGAGGAGGGUGGAAUUCCUGGUGUAGCGGUGAAAUGCGUAGAUAUCAGGAGGAACACCGGUGGCGAAGGCGGCCCUCUGGACGGUGACUGACGCUGAGACGCGAAAGCGUGGGGAGCAAACAGGAUUAGAUACCCUGGUAGUCCACGCUGUAAACGAUGAGCACUAGGUGUCGUGGGUAUUGACCCCCGCGGUGCCGCAGCUAACGCAUUAAGUGCUCCGCCUGGGGACUACGGCCGCAAGGUUA
rnacentral:rRNA from 1 species